UAACUAAAUUGUCAUCAUCCUUGGUACUAA
rnacentral:sRNA from 1 species